ensembl:lncRNA
CGGCAGUGUAUCAAAUACUUGUUCUUCCCACUGUAGCUGAGGUGAUGGAAGGAAGAGGUUUGCCACCUGGUGGCCAGAUCCGGUAAUGCAUUAAGUCAUCCAGAGCACGUGUUCCCUGUUCAAAAAAAUGGGAAGACCAGAGCAGAGGGGGUGGAUUACGGAAUAAUUUAUGUAUUUAUUGCCUCCUAGAAGAUGACUGGUAACACAUUCUGUUGCAGAUACAUAGACAGUCACAAACUGUGUAUUAUUCUCCAUUACAUAACAGCAGAUAGGUGGAAAUGUUAAAGGAAACAACAGUGAAACAGAAUGACUGACCACAGUAGCAUCAAGAACCGUCUCAGCACAAUCCUGAAAAACAAACAGCGAUUCUCUAAAUAAAUGCUGACCACAGUUAAAGUGGUUAUCACUGUAACACAGGUUAAGGGUCAAAUGACACCACUUCCAUACGAUUGCCCUACUUAAGAAGCCCAACAGGUCUGGUCAAAAGAAGCCCAACAGGUCUGGUCAAAAGAAGCCCAACAGGUAUGGUCAAAAGAAGUCCAACAGAUCGGGAGUAGCUUGCCAUUUGGGCGCAGGAACACAAAUCAAGACCAUUUAAGCAGGACUUUGGAUUGAUGCUACUCAGUAACGAGUAUCAUGGAUGCGUUUGCACAAGCAGCUCAAUUUGGAUAACCUUUCGACCAAUCAGACCUGCUCCGAACAAAGAUCUGAGGAGAAAAAUAAAGACAUUCAUUUGAAGAAUACCAAAAUUUUGUGUCCUAUAGACGCCAAAAUAACAUGACUGGAACCCAGGCUAACAGCUUGAUGCCACCAGACACAGAGGGACUGGAACCCAGGCUAACAACUUGUUGCCACCAGACACAGUCUCAGGUCCGACCUUGAUUCUGCCGUCCCCAUUUACAUGCCUUAAAAAGCAUACUGUCAGUACUUGCUUUAUACGGAGACAUAAUACAAAACAUACAGGAUAAGCAGUCAAACAGGUUUUGGUCAGUGAGUCCUCUCAGUUGUUAAAGCAGCUAGCGCUUUGAAAACACAGUGACUGAUAUUUUUUAAUGUGCAUGUGUUGGGUGGAGGAUGGUUACCUUAAUCCAGACCUCAAGCCCACAACAUCACUGACACUCAUGUUUUCAUUAGGUAACCUGGUGAGUGGUUCAAUAAAUUACCAACCAGGGAAGGUGGACCAGCGUGUCAAAAACCCCAUGAGACCAGAUCAUACAAAUCCGGAUAUUGGACGCUUCCUUAGACCCUGCCCUGGUCUAAAUUCAGUACUUUCUAAGACCCUGCCCUGGUCUAAAUUCAGUACUUUCUAAGACCCUGCCCUGGUCUAAAUUCAGUACUUUCUAAAACCCUGCCCUGGUCUAAAUUCAGUACUUUCUAAAACCCUGCCCUGGUCUAAAUUCAGUACUUUCUAAAACCCUGCCCUGGUCUAAAUUCAGUACUUUCUAAAACCCUGCCCUGGUCUAAAUUCAGUACUUUCUAAAACCCUGCCCUGGUCUAAAUUCAGUACUUUCUAAAACCCUGCCCUGGUCUAAAUUCAGUACUUUCUAAGACCCUGCCCUGGUCUAAAUUCAGUACUUUCUAAGACCCUGCCCUGGUCUAAAUUCAGUACUUU